AAGAUAGCUAUUGUAAAUCUGCUUCAACACAGAUCAAUUAUCUCUCUAAUCGGAAAUGUUCAGAGAUCAUCAUUCAUAUUAGAGAAGGGCUUCCGGGUUCUGCGAACCAAUGGAAUUAAUGUCCAGAUGAUCUCCCAAGGUGCAUCUAAGGUAAACAUCUCAUUGAUAGUGAAUGAUGAUGAGGCGGAGCAU